rnacentral:snRNA from 1 species
UGUUCUUAUCAGUUUAGUAUCUGAUACGUUCCCUAUCCGUGUACUGCAUAUUAAAUUGAUUUUUGGAUCAUGGAGCUGGAGCCGGGGCUUGUUCCGUCCACUCCACGCAUCGGCCUGGUAUUGCAGUGUCUCCAGGAACAGUGU